GACGAACGCUGGCGGCGUGCUUAACACAUGCAAGUCGAACGAUGAAGCUGGAGCUCGCUCCGGUGGAUUAGUGGCGAAUGGGUGAGUAACACGUGAGCAAUCUGCCCUUGACUCUGGGAUAACUGCGGGAAACUGUAGCUAAUACCGGAUACUUUCACUGGAAGGCAUCUUCUGGUGAAGAAAGAAUUUCGGUCAAGGAUGAGCUCGCGGCCUAUCAGCUUGUUGGUGAGGUAACGGCUCACCAAGGCGACGACGGGUAGCCGGCCUGAGAGGGUGACCGGCCACACUGGGACUGAGACACGGCCCAGACUCCUACGGGAGGCAGCAGUGGGGAAUAUUGCACAAUGGGCGCAAGCCUGAUGCAGCAACGCCGCGUGAGGGAUGAAGGCCUUCGGGUUGUAAACCUCUUUUAGCAGGGAAGAAGCGAAAGUGACGGUACCUGCAGAAAAAGCACCGGCUAACUACGUGCCAGCAGCCGCCGUAA
rnacentral:rRNA from 1 species